rnacentral:rRNA from 1 species
GAUGAACGCUGGCGGCGUGCCUAAUACAUGCAAGUCGAGCGAACGGACGAGAAGCUUGCUUCUCUGAUGUUAGCGGCGGACGGGUGAGUAACACGUGGAUAACCUACCUAUAAGACUGGGAUAACUUCGGGAAACCGGAGCUAAUACCGGAUGAUAUUUUGAACCGCAUGGUUCAAAAGUGAAAGACGGUCUUGCUGUCACCUAUAGAUGGAUCCGCGCUGCAUUAGCUAGUUGGUAAGGUAACGGCUUACCAAGGCAACGAUGCAUAGCCGACCUGAGAGGGUGAUCGGCCACACUGGAACUGAGACACGGUCCAGACUCCUACGGGAGGCAGCAGUAGGGAAUCUUCCGCAAUGGGCGAAAGCCUGACGGAGCAACGCCGCGUGAGUGAUGAAGGUCUUCGGAUCGUAAAACUCUGUUAUUAGGGAAGAACAUAUGUGUAAGUAACUGUGCACAUCUUGACGGUACCUAAUCAGAAAGUCACGGCUAACUACGUG